GAGCCUGCGGCUUAAUUUGACUCAACACGGGGAAACUCACCAGGUCCAGACACAAUGAGGAUUGACAGAUUGAGAGCUCUUUCUUGAUUUUGUGGGUGGUGGUGCAUGGCCGUUCUUAGUUGGUGGAGUGAUUUGUCUGCUUAAUUGCGAUAACGAACGAGACCUUAACCUGCUAAAUAGUCAGUAUUGCUAUGGCAGUACGCGGGCUUCUUAGAGGGACUAUCGGCUCAAGCCGAUGGAAGUUUGAGGCAAUAACAGGU
rnacentral:rRNA from 1 species